UUUUCAGACGUGUACUGGAUCAAGGUGUC
rnacentral:piRNA from 1 species